UUGACCCAAACACUCCCAUAGUCUUCAAUCCCAUGCCACACUCCUAUCUUUUUACAGGUGAUCAAGGCUACUGAAGGGGUAUUUGAGUUCAUUUAUCUGACUUCUAAGGACAACAGUGUUUACAUUCAGAAGUGGACACCUCGGAAGAAAUUCUUCAUCUAGGGUGAGUUGAUCACUCUCCAGACUCCUACCCCUAACCCUUGGCAUGUGUUCCUCCAAAGCGGACCAUUCAUCUUCCCAGGCUAAGAGGUCACCCUCUCUGCACAUUAUUCUUCAUGAGGCACCCAGGACACUGCACUCCCAGGACUGGUCAACCAUGCCCCAUUCUAUACCUGCCCCAGGGUCCCCUGAGCCUCUGGAAUAGACUAUUUGUGGACCACAGUGUGUUCUUUUCUGUGGAUACCUGCAUGCACUUAGGUCACCCUCAGGCUCUGACUUCUUUUCCCAUGAGUGCUUCUGAAUCAUAAGAAAUUAAAACUGAAGGCAAGCCACAGGAAUUACUAGGGAGAAGAUUUUUAGUUGGAAGCGGUAACAAGGCAAACCAUAGAUCUACAAAAGAGGAGGCAGCUAUGUUAUUUAUUUAUUUAUUUAUUUAUUAAAGUUUAUUUUUACUUAUUUCGAGAGAGAGAGAUGGAGAGCAAGCGGGGGAGGGGCAGAGAGAGAAGGAGACAGAAUCCCAAGCAAGCUCCAUGCUAUCAGCACAGAGGGCUCGAACUCACAAACCGUGAGAUCAUGACCUGAGCUGAAAUCAGGAGUCGGAUGCUUAACCGACUGAGCCACCGGAUGCCCCGCAACUAUGCUAUUUUAGACUAUAUUGGGAACAUUUUGACUAUUAUUUAACAUGGUUCCUUUUAAAAUCUUCCCUUUUAGUAAGUGGCCCACCCAUUUGGUUUGGGAACACACACUCUGGCCUACUGCCAUGGGCUGUAGUUCAGCUAUGAACUUAGCUUUCAAAGCCUUUGCAAUGUGAUUCUGACUUCUUUCACUUGUGUGCUACCCAGAGGCCAAUUGUGAAACCUGUUUGGUAUUCUAUACAGUAGUCGAUUUCUCAAACAUUUUGCUGUGUUGGCUCUGGUCAUUUUCAUACAUGCAUCUCUUAGGAGUUUGCCAGGACAUCAUAUACAAAUUUAGUGAAUCCCUUUCUCUGGCUCCAUCGUUUCCAUAAACAAUGCUUAUACGCUCUAGCUGGAAUAGGGUAAAGUGCCAUCUUGUUAUUGAGGGGAAGUAACAAGGGUGUAGGGAUGGAACGCCAAGCUCUAGGAAACAAGAUGACAACAGUCACACACACACUGAGGGGGAAACAGACUUUUUGUCCAGGCAAGUCACUAAGCAAACAAAUAAAAAUGCAGCCACCACAACCACUCACAAGGUGGGAACAGAAUCCAAAGUUGGUACAAUGUACUAUCUAAAUUGCCAAUUUUUCAGUAAUACACGCAAUGAAAUAGGAAAGUAUGCCUUUUACACAGGAAAAAAAUCUGUCAGCAGGCAUACUGAGGGGGCUGAGAUGUUGGACUGAGCAGAAAAGGACUUCAAAACAGGUAUUAUAAAUAUGUGAUUAAAAUGAAAAGAAAGCAUAGGUAAAGAUAAUUACAUGACUCGUAAAAUAGAUGAUAUGAAUACACGAGUUGAAGUUAUGAAUACAAACCAAUGAGAAUAUCAGGAGUUUUAAAAGUAUAAUAACUCAUACGGAUAAGAGAGUUUCCAUGACAGGUUUCAGCUAGAAGUAGGAGGAAUCUAUAAAACUGAAGACAGAUCAAUUAAGAGUAUCCAGUUGAUGGACAGAAAAAUAAAAGAAUGAAGUACAAUGAACAAAUCUUAAGAUACCCUUGGGGAGCCAUUAAAUAUAUUGCCUUAAACACAUAACCUUAGUUCUAGAAAGAGAACAAAGAAAUAGGCAGAAAAAUUUAAUGGCUGAAAGCUCCUCAAAUUUGAGGAAAUGUAUUCAUGUGUGCACUUAAGAAGGUCAACGAAUCCAUAACAGCUUAGACACAAACAUAUCUGCCCCUGGAAUCUGUGGACUAGAUGCACCUAGUCUAGGUCACUGUUCUACAGCGUCUCCCCUUUGGCCAUCUCAGCUGAGACGCACCACAAAGUUUCGGUAGGGCCUUCAAGCUCCUGGGAGGAUGUACAGUCAACUGUAGAUCAUUUUCAUCUUUUGGGGCAUAACCAUGAGUAAAAUACAGGCUAAUGAUGGGUUCACGGGGCAACUGGAAUAAUUCUUCUUAGUUUCCUUUACAUUGGUCGCUAACUCCACCUGCCCGUGGGCUCCUUUGUUUUAUUUUGUUCAUUCUUUUAGAGACUUUUGAUUCUAUUUGUUUAUUAAUUUUUUUUAAUUUUAGAGAGAUAGAGAGGAGAGGGAGAGAAUCUGAAGCAGGCUUCACGCUUAGCAUGGAGCCCGAUGUGGGGCUGGAUCCCAAGACCCUGGGAUCAUGACCUGAGCGGAAAUCAAGAGUCAGAUGCUCAACCGAGUGAGCCACCCAGCCGCCCCUACAAUUUUGUUUUUUAAAGUAUGACUUUUUAAAUAAACUUUUAGGGGUACCUGGAUGGUUCAGUUGGUGGAGAAUAUGCCUCUUGGUCUUGGGGUUGUAAGUUUGAGCUCUGCGUUGGGUGUGGAGAUUACUUAAAAUCUUUUGAAAAAAUAAAUAAAUGAACUUUUAACUUGGAAUAAUUUUAGACUUACAGAAAAGCUGGAAGUUAAGUAUGGAGGGUUCCUGUGUACCUUUCAUUCAGUUUCUUCAGGGUUAACAUCUUACAUAACCUUGGUGCACCUGUCAAAACAAUGAAAUUAACAUUGGUACAAUACUAUGAGCUAACCUAACUUUAUUCCCAUGUACACAGUCUUGCCACCCAUAGCCUUUUUCACUUCCCUGAUCAGAUCCAGGAGUCUCUAUUUGCCUUCUUUAGCUUUUUACAAUAUGUGACAGUUUUCACUCUUUCCUAGUUUUUCAUGAUCUUGAUAAUUUUGAAGAAUACAAGUCAGGUAUUUUGUAAAAUGUUUCUCACUGUUGGUUUGUAUGAUGUUUUCUCUUGGUUAGAUUUGGAUUAUAGGUUUUUUAGAUGAAUAUAUCACAGAAAUGGAUUGCCCUCUCAUUGCAUCAUAUCAAAUGAUACCACUACGAGUUAUCCCUGGUUAUAUUCACCUCAAUCCCCUGGUUAAGAAGGUGUCUUCCAGGUUUCUCCACUCUAAAGUCACUACUUUUACCUUUUCAUAUGUUAUUUGGAAGUGAGUGAGGCACUGAAUCCAGCCUGCACCCAAAGAGGAGGGAAGUGAAGUUUUGCAGGGGUUUCCACGAUUUGCCCCUUCUCUUCGCUGAUUUCUUUAUUCAAUAUUUUAUUUACAACCAUCUGGUAAAAGAUACUCACUUUAUUCUUUUGGGGUGUCAGCCUAUACGACCAACAUAUAUUUUGGGAAAUUGCCCCAGCUUUAGCCAUUGUGAUGUCCUUCAGAUCCAGUGUACAACAUGAUGAACUUUGGUUAAUAAUACUGUAUUGUAUACUUGAAAUUUGCUGAGAGAGUAGAUAUUAGGUGUUCUCACCACACACACACACACACACACACGCACACAAAGUCACUAAGUGACAGAUUUGUUAAUUUAGCUUGACUCUGGUCAUCAUUUCACAAUGUAUACCACAUAUCAAAUUAUUACAUUAUAUACCUUAAAUAUACAUAGUGUUAAAAUCAAUUGUACCUUAAUGAAGCUAGAAAAAAAAAUCUUUGAUUUAUGGCAUGAGAUGAUGCCCCAGGGCCACUGUGCAUUUUCAUUUCUUCAGCUCUGGAAUCAACUGUUUCUCUAAGGUCCUGCACUCUUAUCACAUCCUAUCAAAUUCUUUCCUAACACAAAGCCUUGUGAGUGUUUCCCAUGAAGUCAAUAACUAAGAGAAAGUCAUAAUACAUCCUAGCCAGGGACAUAUUGAGCCUGCUAGCAAAACAGGGGCAAUAUUUCAAUAGAAUAGUGGAAUCUAGCUGUCAUGUACUCACAAGACCCUGGAGGUGGACAUGGGACAAGAAUCUGUGAUUGGUGGCCAAACGGUAUUGAAGAUUAAAUUUGGAGACAGGACUUAACAUCACCAUGUUGUACACUGGAUCCUGUGAACUUAUUCAUCUCAUUUAAAGUUUGUACCCUUCAGCCAACCUCCUUUCUUUUCCACCCCUCACCCCCACCAGUAACCAUGCCCUGGAAGGAUGUACAGUUUUUAAAUAAGUAAAUAAAAGUUACAGAUAUACCAAAAGGACACGGGAGUCAGUCUGAAGGACAUCACAAUGGCUAAAGCUGGGGCAAUUUGCCCAAAUGGCAGGAACUGAAUUAGAUGGUGGGAACGUGUUUCUAGGAUGGUUUCUAGAAGUGGGGAAUGAUGAAAGCCCUUGGUGGAGAACAGCCAGAAUUGCUACGGCAGAAGUAGGCACAUUCGAGGGGGUAAACUGUGUAAGACCAGGUAGUUUUCUGGCAUCUGAGGGGAGUUAGCAGGCCUGGUAGUGUUUUGAGCCACUCUUACUACUUUUCGGACCUACUCCCUUGUGCUGACUUCCAAGUUAGAUGAAACAGAGAUGAACAACCUCCGUCAGUCCUUCAGAUAAACCACCAGACAGGUUUGAGCACACACACACACACACACACACACGCACACACUAAUUUGCCACUAAGGUCUAUUCUGUUCCUUCCUGAUUCAGGGAGCAGGGUGCCUCUCUGGAAAUGCAGGUUGCUAUUGCUUUAAAACCACCUUAUAGCUGGGAAUGGGGGGAAUAAAGGCAAAUAAAAUCACCACAGAACUUUUCUACUGUGUUGAAGUCAUAUUGUUUUCUUGAUUCAGCAUUUGCUUGGCUGCUGUCAGUUGUUGAUUGUUUCGCAGAGUUCUGAUAAAGUUGGUUCUGACAUUUUCUGCUUGUUUUUUGAUGUGUCUCGGGGGGAGAUGAGAGCUUGCAGCUGCCUACUCGGCCAUUCUGAUGACAUUACUCCUCUGGAUAUUGGUUUUUAAAUACCAUACUCUGAUUUUAAAAAUAUGAGCUUUGCAAACGGGUACAGAAGUCAACCUGAAAUUGCUCCCCAUAGGCAAAGCUAGAACAAUUUGAGCAAAUACAUAAAUAAUAUGAGGACUGGAUUAUAACCCCCAAAACAAAAUAAAUCUCCAUGAGUCCAUAAUAAUGUCAAAUAACUAACCAAAUAAAUAGAUGGGGGUGGGAAAGGGGAGCAGAUCUCCCUUACAGAGCAAUUUGAAUUAAUUCCAAUUACUCUCCCUGCCCUGGAAUGUGGGCUGGACUUAGUGACUCACUUCCAAAUGAAAAGGUAUGGAAGGGGAACAUAAAAAGUGGCUUUACAGUGGAGAGACCUGGUAAGUCGCCACUUCAACCAAGUGAUAAAUGUUAACAUCGCCAGUAUCAUGUGUAUAUAAUGUAUCCCUGAUACGAUCAGAUGAGAAGGGCAAUUCUUCUUUGUGGUAAUUUUCUCCACAAAAACCAUAAUUUCAGUCUAAUAAUAAGAAUACAGGAGACCAACAAAAAUUGGGGGACAUUGUACAAAAUAGGUGAGCAACACUCUUUUAAGUUUUCUAAGUUAACGGAAAACGAAGAAGGAUCAAGAAACUGUCACAGAUCAGAGACUGAGGAGAUACAGUGACUGAGGGCUGUGAUAUUCUGGAUUAGAUUCUUGUAUGGAAAAACCACAUUUGUGGAGAAACUGAUGGAAUCUGAAUAGAGUCUGCCAUUGAGUUAAUAGCAUUGUGUCCAUGUUGAUUUUUUAGUUCUGACUGGCGUCCCCUGGUGAUGUAAGAUGUUCUCAUUAGGGCAAGAACUAGGUGAAGGGUAUGAAAAAAAAUUCUACGUACCAUUUUAGAACCUUUUAUGCAAAUCUAAAUUUAUUCUAUGAUAAAAAAUCAAAUAGAACAAAAAAUAGAGGAUACACUUUUGUGGAAGGACUCUGAACAAGUUUGGAGAUGACAAAUUAUGCUAAAAGGAGAAAUUCAAUCAAUUCUCCAAAACACUAAUUUUUCAGACCUCACUUAUUCUGUAAAUUCUCUACAAUUCUACCCUGGGUCUGCAUCUUGCAGUGUUUUCAUCUUACAGUGUUUAUGGUAUUUGGUUUUAUUUUGGGAAACAUGUUUUAUUUUAAAGUAGUCAGAUUGAUUAAUAAUGGCCUUCACAUUUUGUGCCUUCUGUAUCUUGGAGUCCUAAAGAUAGUCUCCUUUGUGUUAUCAUAAAAGUUUAAAACUUUUGUGUUACAGGAACUAGAAUAUCCUCCCUUUCCUCACCUAAUGAUUCUUGGUUGAGCAAAUUACGUAGGGAAGUUUCAGGAUAUGUCAGCUGGACUUUGACCCCAGGCUUCUCUGGAUCUAUUUCUUUUUUGUAUGCUUUGUUUUACUUUGGAUGGAGUGAGGUGUCUGAUGUUAGAGAACCCCAGACACAAUGGAUCUUUCCUUUCAUUCAAGUUAAUUUUGUGUCUUUUGAGAAUGUUUACAGUUCAUACAUACUUUAGAACUUCUAAUUUGUUGAUAGUUUUUAACCGUUUUGAAAAUUACAUGCACAUUUUAUUGCUAAACCACACUGAAGGUAAAUCACAGAAAUCAAUAUGUUUCACCCCUGAAUACAUGCAUCUCCUAAGAACUAGGAUAUUUUACACAGCCAAGAAACUCACAUGGGCUAGAUAAACUUACCUAAUAUAUAUUAAAUUUUGAAACAUUUUUCAAUCAUUCAACUAACAUAAGGUUCCACAUUCUUGGGCCUCUAGAACCCACAUCAUAGACACCUCUGUCUAAACAUCAUUUAUCCUACAGACUGUGUACCAUAGACAAAAUAGAUUCCACAUCUCAGAUAUUUCAAUAUCCUAUUCUAGACAUUAUUUCUAGAGACUCCAUUGCUAAGUCCAGAAAAAAAAAUCCGUUUCUGGUACCAUUUCAAUCACUCAGGUCUCAGCCACAUUCACUUACCCCAUGGACAUUUGCUACUGAACCCACUGACACUAAUCAUUGACCCCAUACAAGUCCAUCAGUGUCUCCAUAUACCACCAUAAUUAAUCUCCAAAGUCCCAUCACCCAUUUCACAAACUAAAUUCUACAACCCACUGUUCCAGUGAGAUUUGUGGGCAAGUCCCCAGGUGGGGCAAGAAAGAAGAGAGGCACCAAAGACCCCAUCUUUGCUCACAUAAAGAUUGUUGUCCUUCUCAAAAAUGACCAGCAGAUGGCAGAAAAAUCCAUGUUUUGGAUACGUAGACUCCUGUUCCAAACAUUACGGAGCUUUGAGAUAGGGGUUUUUUGUGUGUUUGUUUUCUGUUUUUGUUUGUUUUUGUUUUUGUGUUUGUGUUUGAGACCAGCUAAUCUGCCUGGUGAAUAAUGAGAAUUAAAGAUCAUUGUGAUAUCAGAAAAUUCUCCAUCAAAACAUUUUCUUCUCAGCCCAUUGCAGCCCACCAGUGUCACUGAUAACACUCCAGUGUCACCGAUCCCAAUCUGUACCUAUCUGAAGAUUCUUGUGGUUCAUGUCACCCUUCUCUUCAUUAAAACCCAUUAGGAGGCAAUAACAACAUUGAGAACUAUUUAUGAAAGUCUUGAAUGUAGUAUUUCAUGUUUCCUACUAGAGUUUUUGGCAUUGCCAUAGAGAUUAUUUGUUAAUCCAAAGUGAUGAAUCUGUAAUGGCCAGAGUGGUGUAUAUAACAUAUUUGGAUGAAACUAAGAGUUCAUCUGCCUCUUAAAUUAGGUUGGUGGAGGCUGCCCUAUACUUCUUGUAAUAAUAAUAAGAGCCGAUGUUUGUUCAGCACUUACUAUGUGCUAGGCACCGUACCAACCACUUUACAUAGUAGGCAGAUUGAAUCUUCACAUUAACCCCACAAAGCGAUGACUAUUAAACAUUUUUUACAAAGUAUACAGAUGCCCAGAGAAUUCAAGUAAUGUGUUUCAAGGCCCUACAGUUAGAAAAAUGCUCAGGACCGCAUCUUUGCAUCUAUUCACACCAUAUGCAAUGAAUAAUAUGGUGGUAGCAUUGUUGGGGCUUUAUGGACCCAAAAGAAGUUCUUGUUCUCUUGGCCCUGCAACACAUGUGUUGGAAUCUUCUCAUUACAGGAUCUGGGAACCAGUUUUAGUUGUGUUACCCUGGGUGAGUAUGACCAUUAAUUAGCUCUUCAGGGGGCAUUGUGACAAUAUCUAGGCUGAUGUGAGCAGAAUAUUUUAAACCAGGACUGUCCCACUGGCUCCAGGUUACACGACUCCCUUUAGGGCAGUGGAAUGUUUAUUUUAUUUUAUUUUAUUUUUUAAUUUUUUUUUCAACGUUUAUUUAUUUUUGGGACAGAGAGAGACAGAGCAUGAACGGGGGAGGGGCAGAGAGAGAGGGAGACACAGAACCCGAAGCAGGCUCCAGGCUCCGAGCCAUCAGCCCAGAGCCCGACGCGGGGCUCGAACUCACGGACCGCGAGAUCGUGACCUGAGCUGAAGUCGGACGCUUAACCGACUGCGCCACCCAGGCACCCCGAGGGCAGUGGAACGUUUAAAUCACACAUCCCAGCUGUUGGCAGGGAUCAGUUCAAGUCUGUCUUCUUUUCCUUCAGGCAAAACAUCACUCCAUUCUUCAACUUGCUGUGUUUCUCUGGUGGUAUAGCUUGACGCUCAAGAGCUUUGAGCAGCAGCUCUGUAUCAGCACCCCAGGGCUGUUGUGAGACAUGUGGUGUGCAGUGUCACAGUCCUGUGCCUAGAAAGCAGUUUCCCUACUCAUUGUCCCAUCUCCUACAACGCGCUGCAGUAGUUGGGAUUCUGGGUUGAAAGUAAGAGAAACCAACUCUAAGGCAUUCAUUUAAAAGGGAGUUAAGGGGGGGGCGCCUGGGUGGCUCAGUCGGUUAAGCAUCCGACUUCAGCUCAGGUCAUGAUCUCGUGCUCCGUGAGUUCGAGCCCCGCGUCGGGCUCUGUGCUGACAGCUCAGAGCCUGGAGCCUGUUUCAGAUUCUGUGUCUCCCUCUCUCUCUGACCCUCCCCCGUUCAUGCUCUGUCUCUCUCUGUCUCAAAAAUAAAUAAACGUUAAAAAAAAUAAAAAAAAAUAAAUAAAAGGGAGUUAAGAAAGGAUUGCUCAUCUUUCUCUAUCAGGAACUUCUCCCUCACCCACAUGGCUCUUUUGGUCAUGACCAUCUUUCCCUGGACACAGAGUAGAAGGCUUGGGUCAACCCAGUCCAAUCAGAGUACCCCAGCUCAGACCACACUUAUUGGGGAAUGAAGGGUACACGGCCCAAUGAGAGUUCUCCUUGGAUUUUUAUGCCCGAGAAGAGAAAAAGCUGGUUAUUUUCUGUGGGGUUUCUGAGUUGGCAGAUGAGAACCUGUCUGAGGAAGGAGGCCAGAAGAGUCUCGCAGAUUCAUGAGGGGGAGAGACGGACUAAAAGUCCUACGGGUAUUGAGUCCUAGCAUCAAGCUAGGCCUGAAGCCAGGGGCAGUUCUUUAUUUCCUAAUUUGGAGAGCUCAUAGAUCUCCCUCUUAUGCUGAAGUGACUUUGAGCUAGUUUUCUGUCACUUAUAACCUAACGUACUGGUUUGUAUGCCUCAAUCCACAACGGGCUCUGUGGGUUCCUUCAGGCCCUAUUUAAUCAUUUCCUUAAUGGAUGAUUAUUUUAUUUGUAAGAUCUUUAUUUUUUUAAGUUUAUUUGUUUAUUUGAGAGAGAGAGAGUGCAAGUAGGGGAGGGGAAGAGAGAGAGAGAGAGAGAGAGAGAGAGAGAGAAUCCUAAGCAGGCUCCGUGCUGUCAGUGAACUGUGAGAUUGUGACCUGAGCCAAACCCAAGAGUUGGAGGCUUAAGCAACUGAGCCACCUAUAAAGAUUUUUAAAGGAGAGCAUCUCACUAAUCAGCAACAGAGCCCUAGAAUGUCACCAUUCAUCAUCCUUCAAAGUAGCCUCAAUAUCUGGUGCUGGCUUUGGCAUCAUCUGGUGUCACAUUAUAAAUGAAUUCAUAGGUUUAGGGAUAUUAUCUUGUUAUUGUCUGUUUUCUCUUGGUGAAAAUCAUUAAGGUCAAAAUCAUUAAGUAAUUUUUGUAAAGGCAAAUUGCUGAACUUGAGGAGAAAAUCCACUAAAACUUUUCAACUUUAAUAUUAGGCAUUCCUAAAACCUAAAUAUGGAACCAGGGGAUACUUACGUUUGCACAAAAAUUUGGCAUCAAGAGCACGAGUUAAAUCACACACAGAUCACUUAAAUUAGCACAAAUGGUCUAUCCUCAUCAUCUAUUUGCCAGCUCACUUCCCUGACAAGCAAUGAUGGUCUCAACCAAAUACUGUAGAGACUCCUAAACUCCCCUCAGCUUGCAAAACCAAAAACUGAAUUCAGAGUAUGUGAAAGAGAGAUGUUGUAAACAUGCUUAUGACAAGAUCUGGAAAUUACUAAGUAUGCUAUUUUUCAACAUAUAUGUGCUAAGCAUCAUGAAGGCCAGGAUACCUCCAUCUUCUGUCAUUAACAAUAUGAAUUGGUUAUCUCCAAGGGAAGUAUUCAAUUUGAGUCACAUUUUCAGGAAACAUCUCGAAAGACUGGAAGGUAAGAGCUUAUAUGCCAGUAGUCACAUUUUGAGAUUGUCUGCAUUGUGUUAGUGGGUCCUAGAUAGAUGAGAAAGUCCAACAGAAACAGAGGACAAAACUGAAUGGUCAGCAUUUCAUUUUGUUGCAUUAUUUUAAAGUUAGUGGUUAUACAAAACCAAGAGCACACUGUAUAUACAGUAUGUUAGCCAACUUGACAACAAAUUAUAUUAAAAAAUAAAUAAAAAAAUAAAGUUAGUGGUUAUAGAUUCAGUCAUACAAAUUUAGUAUAACAGAGGUUUACAAAGGAAUUGUAAUUUAAAUACAAUGCAUUAUGUGACAUAUUUAAGUAAAUUGCACUUUGAAAAGAGAAAAGGUGUUUUUUAAAAUGUACUCAGAGGUGGAGUAUGUUUUUCAUUGUAUAUGAUAUUGCUAUAAAUGAUAUCUGCUGAUAGUAGCCUUGAUCACUUGGUUAAGAUGGUUUCUUCAGUGUUUUUCUACUAGAAAAUCACUAUUUUCUCCUUUCCGUAUUCUAUUCUCUGGGACAUGGUAAGUCCUCUCCAUACUUAAGAGAAAGGAAAUGAAUUUCCCACCUCCUAGAAGGCACAUAUCUACACAUGCUAUUUGAAUUUUUUUUAACUUUUAUUUAUUUUUGGGAGACACAGAGAGACAGAGCAUGAGCAGGGGAGGGGCAGAGAGAGAGGGAGACACAGAAUCUGAAGCAGGCUCCAGGCUCUGAGCUGUCAGCACAGAGACCGACAUGGGGCUCGAACCCAUGAACUGUGAGAUCAUGACCUGAGCUGAAGUUGGACGCUUAACUGACUGAGCCACCAGGCUCCCUUGCAAUUCUUCUGUAAGGAAGAUUUGUCCCUUCUCCUCAUUUAUUUAAUAUUUUGUUUUUAUUGGCACAGAAUGAUGGAUAUUUAUUUUAUUCUUUGAGUUAUAAUUUAAUAUUAUGUAUUUGUUAGGAAAAUUGUCCCGUAUUUUAAUUGUUUCAGUUGUUACACAUUUUGCUUGGAAAAUUGUUCCAGCCAUGGCUAUUGGGAGUUUUUUCAUAUUGAUUCAUGUGUCUUUUUAAUAUACAUGGGAUCAUCUUGUGUUUUAACUGCCCUUGCCCUGUAUACAGCCCUUUUCCAAAAGAGUUCUGAUUUCUUUUAUUAGAUAAUGGUGUUUAGAAACCAAGAUCUGGGCACUAGGUGUGCUCAUUGUUAUCAGGGUGUCAAUGCCUCUAGGUCUGCUUAGGAGACAGAGCCAGUAAACAAACAAACAAACUAAUUUAAUAAAUAAUACAAACACAUAUUUAUAUAUGCAUAUUUAUUUAUAUAUACAUACAUAUGCUAAUCUUUGUAUAUAAGCAUAUCUAUUUGUGCAUCUGGGCAUCUGAAUAUAUAUUAAAAUAAACAUGAAUUCAUACUGCACUCAUAUAUCUCUGACCACAGAUACAAUGUGGUCUUUCUCCCCCUUGCUUAUGCAGGGGUAUUGGAUGAGUUCAUGGGUGGUACUGAGAGGCCCUGAUAGGGCCUAGGAACAAGCAAUUGAUCCUUGACCCAUUUGGCACCUUCUCCUGAUGCAAAAGCCUGGGCAUGUGGCUAAAAUCAGGGUGGGGUGCCCAAGUGGCUCAGUGGGUUAAGUGUCCGACUUCAACCUAGGUCAUGAUCUCACUGUUCCCAAGUUCAAGCCCUGUGUUGGGCUCUGUGUGGACAGCUUAGAGCCUGGAGCCUGUUUCAGAUUUUGUGUCUCCUCCUCUCUCUCUGCCCCUCCCUCACUCACGCUCUGUCUCUCUCUCUCAAAAGUAAACAUUAAAAUAAAUAAAUGGCACCUGGGUGGCUUGGUUGGUUAAGCGUCCGACUUCGGCUUAGGUCAUGAUCUCAUGGUCCAUGAGUUCGAGCCCCGUGUCGGGCUCUGUGCUGACAGCUCAGAGCCUGGAGCCUGUUUCAGAUUCUGUGUCUCCCUCUGUCUCUGCUCCUCCCCUGUUCAUGCUCUGUCUCUCUCUGUCUCAAAAAUAAACAAACGUUAAAAAAAAAUUAAAAAAUAAAUAAAUAAAUAUCAGGGCUCAUGGCCUAAAGAAGAUUAAAUGUUAUAUAUUAGAGGCAUGGCAAUAGGCCCCUGAUUGGCAAGUAAGGUCCAGCCAAGUGUCUGCCUGAACUUGGGAAUUUGCAGAGAAUGGAGAGAGAGUGGUCAUUGUAAGGUGAGGAUGUAGGGACAUGGCUAUGUACAAGAAAAUUCAUGGCCGACUUUGAAGGACAUUGGGGGAAAGUGACUAUAGGGACUAAUCUCUGAGCAAUUUUGUGACAUCUUACAGAGUUCUUUCAUAUUGCAGGACCUUUCCAGGGCCAAAGAAGUAGUCACAAGAAAAUAUUGGUUUCCUUUUAGGAAAUGAGGAUGAUUUCAGUACAUUGUUAAUUUGCAUUAUCAUAACAUUAAAACCAUGAUUAAUACUACACUGGUGAAUCUUGUUCCUUUUUAAUCUAUAUGAAACUAGGAUAGUUGUGAUGUGCCAUUGAUAUCAUUUUUUGCUUUUACAUUAACAAUAUGACUGAAAUUAAUACUGCAAUUAGGAAUGAAGAGAUAGUUCAAAACUAGGAGAAUAAAUUCAUAUUUUUAUGAGUAUGCUGAGGCUUGAAAGAGGUAGAUCCUUGGGGUGCCUGGGUGGCUCAGUUAGUUGAGUGUGCAAUUUUGGCUGAGGUCAUGAUCUCAUGGUUGGUGGGUUUGAGGCCCACACUGGGCUUUGCGCUGACAGUGUGGAGCCUGCUUCAGAUUCUCUGUCUCCCUCUCUCUCUCUGCUCUUCCCCAAUCACACUCUCUCUUGAAAAUAAAUAAACAUUAAAAAAAGGGUUAGAUAAUUAUUUAUUAAAGUAGUGUUCAUUAUUGCCAGUGUGAGUAAUAAUAACUACUAACCAUGAAAUAUACAAUACAAGUCCAAUUGAUUGAGUGCUUACUUGGUAUCAGGUAAUACUUCAAGUACAUUUCAUGUUUUUAACAUUUAAUCUUGGCAGUGGUCCUGUAUGGAAAGUUCUGUAAUUAUUUACAUUUAACAGUUGAGGGUUCUAAGGAGUGAGCUGUUGAACGAGCUGUCCUGAGGUCCUACAGCCAGAAAUUAAUGCAAUUUGGAUUUUAACCCAAGUACCUUGAGUUUAGGUACUGUUAAGUUAAAAUUUGUCUCUCAUGAUGAUUAAAGGAAUACUUACCACAAACCGCUAAUAUUAUUUAUCCACAUUCUGUAAUAUUAUCAUGUUAUAUCAGUAAAGACAGAAGAACUGUAUGAAAGUCUUUUCCUAAAUCCUUCAUUGGUAUCCAGGCUCCUACCUGGCUCCCAACUUCCUGGUGGUCUCUGUAUCCUCCUGGCUAUCAUGGCCAUGCCUGGGCAAGUCUACUCUUGUACGCUAUUAUACCACUGGAUUGUUUACUUAGAAGUUGGUGAGUCUGUAAAGAAUGCAGAGUCCCUGCCUAUGGUAUUUCACCAUUUGGUUGUAAGGGGUAAGAAUUCUCCCUGCUGUGGUGGUUGAGUGGGGGGAUAGGGCAUGUGGGUGCCAUGGGGCUACAUAUUUUGUCUUUCUGAGACUUGGCUGGAGACACAUGAAUACAUAACCAUGAGAGGGUCCAUGUAUACUCUUUUCCAAUCUCUCAAUCAAGAUGGCUUUAUUCUAGGGACUCACCAUUUCAACAGGAAAAUGCAACUCUAUGAAAUCACAUUACCAGGUUCACCCUACCAUCUCCUCUCCAUACACAUCUCCCUAUGAGAACAGAGGAUUCUCCAUCCUGCUGUGAGAGAAUGUGCAGUAUGUGGGGGUCAGACAGGUCCUGGUCAAAUACCAACACUGCAGCCUCCCAUCCCACACAUAUUCCUGCGUCUGCAUCAUUUUUCCUCUUUCCUCCACAGAUGAUCAAGUCUCCUGAGGAGAAAUUUCAAUAUACCUACACAUCUGAUGAGAAAAAGUACCAUGGUGAAAAAAUACAUUCAUGAGUGAGUAUUUUCUAGCAAAAAAAUACUCCAUUUAGAAUGAGCUCAUAUACCCCAGCACUUUGUUUUCUCUGACCGCCAACAUGAACCCUCAAUUUUGGCCAACAGACCAGAAACACAGUCAUUGUCUCUCCUUAAUAAUUUAGGACAUUGUGCUCCCAGGACUGCCCAUCCAGGGCUGAUCUGCUUCCUUGCCCAGGGUAUCCUGAAGCCCCAGGGCUGGAUUCACUCAAACUACAGAGGGAACACAGUGUGCUGACACUCCAAGUUUGACUUCUUUCUUCAUGAAUGGCUUUGAGUAACAAUAAAUUAAAAUUGAAUAGAUGUAGCAUGCAAUAUGGGAAUGUACAACUAGGAGCAGAAAGAAAGCAUCUUGGUGUCUACAAGGCAGAAGCUAAUUCUACCAUGAGUGAUCCACCAAAUGUUCUUUCAGCCCAGGAGCUAUUGCUUUCUCUCUCCUGCUGUACCUUGCUCCGUCUCCCUCUUCUUCUUCCCUUUUUUUUUUUUUUUUGUUCUCCUUCUAUCUUCAUUGCCUUUACUUAUUCCUUGUUUUAUUUCUGUUUUUGCCCAUUCUUUAUAUUUGGUGUACCUCUUUGUCUUCUCUUUUCCCUAUCAUCACUACCUGCACCAAGCCUUUUUCUUUACUCACAAAAUUUGACCCCCUGAUGGACAAAGACAGACCCAGAGUUGU
rnacentral:lncRNA from 1 species